rnacentral:rRNA from 1 species
UACAGAGGGUGCAAGCGUUAAUCGGAAUUACUGGGCGUAAAGCGUGUGUAGGCGGAUAUCUAAGUCGGAUGUGAAAUCCCCGGGCUUAACCUGGGAACUGCAUUCGAUACUGGAUGUCUAGAGUAUGGUAGAGGAAAGUGGAACUCCCGGUGUAGCGGUGAAAUGCGUAGAUAUCGGGAAGAACACCAGUGGCGAAGGCGGCUUUCUGGACCAAUACUGACGUUGAGGCACGAAAGCGUGGGGAGCAAACAGG